UACUUGACUUCGCCCGCCUCCUCGAGGUUAUACUUCAUGCAUCGAGUUGGUUACUGGCCUUCGCCUGCUCUUUGCUCACACUUCUGAAGCACUUGAAGUGUUUGCACUCCUUGCGUUGAGUUAGCUACUGUGAUUCACCUUCUCAAUGCCAUCGAACUUCUGGAAUGCAGGAAGUUUUCACCCCAACUUGGAGUAAUUCUCUCAUAGGUUUGGUCGCCUCUGGGAUUGUACCGUCUUCUCCAUCAGCCCUGCCGCCUACUCCACUAAGUAGCAAAGGUACAGCACCGCGUACUGCCUGCUUCGUUCCUUGGUUAUGCACUCUUGCAUGACCCGAAGUCCUUCACUUUCGGCUAUCUUGAUGAGAAGCACAUUGACACCGGUCUUACGAAGUUCUUCGGCCUCUGCCCUUCAGCCUUGUCUCGGUACUUGGAGAUUGCCUCUGCAUUCUCCACCUCCUCGGCCCCUUUCACGACCAAGCGCUCUCCCUCCAUGAGAGCAAGGGAUCAAUGACUUUUACGGAAGUCCCGCCUCUGCGGUACCAUGGCGCUGCCAUG
rnacentral:lncRNA from 1 species